rnacentral:rRNA from 1 species
AUUAAACGCUGGCGGCAUGCCUUACACAUGCAAGUCGAACGGCAGCACGGGGGCAACCCUGGUGGCGAGUGGCGAACGGGUGAGUAAAGCAUCGGAACGUGCCCUGGAGUGGGGGGAUAACGUAGCGAAAGUUACGCUAAUACCGCAUAUUCUGUGAGCAGGAAAGCAGGGGAUCGCAAGACCUUGCGCUCUGGGAGCGGCCGAUGUCGGAUUAGCUAGUUGGUGGGGUAAAGGCCUACCAAGGCGACGAUCCGUAGCGGGUCUGAGAGGAUGAUCCGCCACACUGGGACUGAGACACGGCCCAGACUCCUACGGGAGGCAGCAGUGGGGAAUUUUGGACAAUGGGCGAAAGCCUGAUCCAGCCAUGCCGCGUGAGUGAAGAAGGCCUCGG